AAGGGCACCACAAGAACGCGUGGAGCAUGUGGCUUAAUUUGACCCAACGCGGGAAAUCUUACCGGGUCCGGACACACUGAGGAUUGACAGGUGUUUGUAGCAUUUGCACUGUAUUUUUUAAAUGCAGUUGCAGUGCUGCUUUAAAUAUGCUAGUCCUUUCAUGAUUGUGUGAUAGGUGGUGCAUGGCCGUUCUUAGUUCGUGGAGUGAUCUGUCUGCUUAAUUGCGUUUCAAAUGAGUAAUAUGGUGUUGUUUCAUUUUUAAUGUGACACUCCUUAACGGGAUUGUUGUCCGUUGAUUAUGUCUUCACCAGACAAUACUCUGAAGGCAACGAACGUGACCG
rnacentral:rRNA from 1 species